GAGUUUGAUCGUGGCUCAGAACGAACGCUGGCGGCAUGCCUAACACAUGCAAGUCGAACGAACUCUUCGGAGUUAGUGGCGCACGGGUGCGUAACGCGUGGGAAUCUGCCCUUGGGUACGGAAUAACUCAGAGAAAUUUGUGCUAAUACCGUAUAAUGACUUCGGUCCAAAGAUUUAUCGCCCAAGGAUGAGCCCGCGUAAGAUUAGCUAGUUGGUGGGGUAAAGGCCUACCAAGGCUACGAUCUUUAGCUGGUCUGAGAGGAUGAUCAGCCACACUGGGACUGAGACACGGCCCAGACUCCUACGGGAGGCAGCAGUGGGGAAUAUUGGACAAUGGGCGAAAGCCUGAUCCAGCAAUGCCGCGUGAGUGAUGAAGGCCUUAGGGUUGCAAAGCUCUUUUACCCGGGAUGAUAAUGACAGUACCGGGAGAAUAAGCUCCGGCUAACUCCGUGCCAGCCGCCGCCGUAAC
rnacentral:rRNA from 1 species